rnacentral:rRNA from 1 species
AUUGAACGCUGGCGGCAUGCCUUACACAUGCAAGUUGAACGGCAGCACGGGUGCUUGCACCUGGUGGCGAGUGGCGAACGGGUGAGUAAUACAUCGGAACGUACCUUAUCGUGGGGGAUAACGCAGCGAAAGCUGUGCUAAUGCCGCAUACGCCCUGAGGGGGAAAGCGGGGGAUCGCAAGACCUCGCGCGAUUAGAGCGGCCGAUGCCUGAUUAGCUUGUUGGUGGGGUAAAAGCCCACCAAGGCGACGAUCAGUAGCUGGUCUGAGAGGACGAUCAGCCACACUGGGACUGAGACACGGCCCAGACUCCUACGGGAGGCAGCAGUGGGGAAUUUUGGACAAUGGGGGCAACCCUGAUCCAGCAAUGCCGCGUGAGUGAAGAAGGCCUUCGGGUUGUAAAGCUCUUUUGUCAGGGAAGAAACACCGGCUCUGACACAGUCCGGGAAUGACGGUACCUGAAGAGUAAGCACCGGCUAACUACGUGCCAGCCGCCGCGGUAA